rnacentral:rRNA from 1 species
AGAGUUUGAUCAUGGCUCAGAAUCAACGCUGGCGGCGUGCCUCAGACAUGCAAGUCGAACGAUUAAAGCUCUCUUCGGAGAGUGUAUAGAGUGGCGCACGGGUGAGUAACACGUAAGUAAUCUACCUUCGAGUGGGGAAUAACGUCCGGAAACGGACGCUAAUACCGCAUAAUGCAGCGGCAUCGCAAGAUGACAGUUGUUAAAGAUUUAUCGCUUGAAGAGGAGCUUGCGGCAGAUUAGCUAGUUGGUAAGGUAAUGGCUUACCAAGGCUACGAUCUGUAACCGGUCUAAGAGGACGGUCGGUCACACUGACACUGAAUAACGGGUCAGACUCCUACGGGAGGCAGCAGUCGGGAAUUUUGGGCAAUGGGCGAAAGCCUGACCCAGCAACGCCGCGUGAAGGAUGAAGUAUUUCGGUAUGUAAACUUCGAAAGAAUGGGAAGAAUAAAUGACGGUAC